rnacentral:rRNA from 1 species
AUUGAACGCUGGCGGCAUGCCUUACACAUGCAAGUCGAACGGUAACAGUCUUCGGAUGCUGACGAGUGGCGAACGGGUGAGUAAUACAUCGGAACGUGCCUAGUAGUGGGGGAUAACUACUCGAAAGAGUGGCUAAUACCGCAUGAGAUCUACGGAUGAAAGCAGGGGAUUGCAAGACCUUGUGCUACUAGAGCGGCCGAUGGCAGAGUAGGUAGUUGGUGGGAUAAAAGCUUACCAAGCCGACGAUCUGUAGCUGGUCUGAGAGGACGAUCAGCCACACUGGGACUGAGACACGGCCCAGACUCCUACGGGAGGCAGCAGUGGGGAAUUUUGGACAAUGGGCGCAAGCCUGAUCCAGCAAUGCCGCGUGCAGGAUGAAGGCCUUCGGGUUGUAAACUGCUUUUGUACGGAACGAAAAGCCCCGGGUUAAUACCCUGGGGUCAUGACGGUACCGUAAGAAUAAGCACCGGCUAACUACGUGCCAGCCGCCGCAGUAA